rnacentral:tRNA from 1 species
GGGGGCAUAGCUCAGUUGGGAGAGCGCCUCGUUCGCAAUGAGAAGGUCAGGGGUUCGAAUCCCCUUGUCUCCACCA